GCGGCGGGGCGGCGGGGCGGCGAGGCUGCGGAGCCGAGCGCGGGAGGUGGAGCCGCGGGCUGCGGGCUCCGGCGCCUGCGUCCCCAGCUCGCCUGGCUCGCCUCCGCCGUGGGCGCCCCGCGGCUGCCUGGCCCUGCGCGGCGACAGGCCCCGGAGAGGAAUCGGGAGGGAGAUGGGGCGCGCAGGCCGGCGCGGGUCCCGCAGGCUCCAGAGCCCCGAGGGCUCUCCACUAGGUCCCUGCAGCGUCCCCUUCUUCUCACCCGCGUCCCGGGUCCCUCAGUGAGCGAGAGCCCCCCUCGAGCGCCUCCCCGGCCAUGGCCAACGGAGUGAUCCCGCCGCCCGGGGGCGCCUCCCCCCUCCCCCAGGUCCGGGUGCCCUUGGAGGAGCCCCCUCUGAGUCCAGACGUGGAGGAGGAGGAUGAUGACUUGGGCAAGACCUUGGCUGUGAGCAGGUUUGGGGAUCUCAUCAGCAAGCCCCCCGCCUGGGACCCCGAGAAGCCCAGCCGCAGCUACAGCGAGCGGGACUUUGAGUUUCACCGGCACACAUCCCAUCACACCCACCACCCGCUCUCGGUGCGCCUGCCUCCACCCCACAAGCUGCGGCGAGCGCCCCCCACCUCUGCCAGGCAAAACAGGAGGAAGAAGAAGGAGAAAACCUCUGCUGCUCCCUCCGAGGGGACCCCUCCCAUCCAGGAGGAGCGGGGCACCGGGGUGGAGGAGGAAGAAGAGGAGGAGGAGGAAGAGGAAGGGGACUAUGAGGCUGUGCCUGUGGAGUCUGUACCCUCAGGGUCCCCACAGAAAGCGAAGUUCUCCAUUGGGAGUGACGAGGAUGACAGUCCCGGCCUCUCCGGGAGGGCUGUCUUCACCAAGCCCUCGUCCUCGGCGGCCACUCACUCGGACAAGAGCCCCCAGCGCUCGGUCAGCUCUCCCAGUCCCCGGGCCCGGCCCCCCCGAGUCACCGGAGAGAAGAGUCGGCCCUGGAGCCCAUCGGCCAGCUAUGACCUGCGGGAGCGGCUGUGCCCAGGCAGUGCCCUGGGCAGCCUGGGUGGCCCAGAGCAGCAGGUGCCCACUGACGAGGCGGAGGCUCAGAUGUUGGGCUCCGCAGACCUGGACGACAUGAAGAGCCACCGGCUGGAAGACAACCCUGGCAUGCGGCGGCACCUGGUGAAGAAGCCAUCUCGAACCCAGGGCGGGAGGGGCAGCCCCGGCGGCCUGGCCCCCAUCCUGCGCAGGAAGAAGAAGAAGAAGAAGCUGGACCGGAGGCCUCAUGAGGUGUUUGUGGAGCUGAACGAGCUGAUGCUGGACCGCAGCCAGGAGCCCCACUGGCGGGAGACGGCGCGCUGGAUCAAGUUUGAGGAGGACGUGGAGGAAGAGACGGAGCGCUGGGGGAAGCCCCACGUGGCCUCGCUCUCCUUCCGCAGCCUCCUGGAGCUCCGGAGGACCAUCGCCCACGGUGCCACCCUCCUGGACCUGGAGCAGACCACUCUGCCGGGCAUCGCGCAUCUUGUGGUGGAGACCAUGAUCGUGUCUGACCAGAUCCGGCCAGAGGACAGGGCCAGCGUCCUGCGCACGCUGCUACUAAAGCACAGCCACCCCAACGAUGACAAGGACAGCGGCUUCUUUCCCCGGAACACAUCCAGCUCCAGUGUGAACUCGGUCAUGGGGAAUCACCACCCCACUCCCAGUCAUGGCCCUGACGGGGCAGUGCCCACCAUGGCCGAUGACCUGGGGGAGCCAGCCCCACUCUGGCCUCACGACCCUGAUGCCAAGGAGAAGCCCCUCCAUAUGUCUGGGGGAGACAGUCACCGGGGGAAAAGCCUGAAGCUGCUGGAGAAGAUCCCCGAGGAUGCCGAGGCCACUGUGGUGCUUGUGGGCUGUGUGCCUUUCCUGGAGCAGCCAGCGGCAGCCUUCGUGCGGCUGAGUGAGGCGGUGCUCUUGGAGUCUGUGCUCGAGGUCCCCGUGCCGGUUCGCUUCCUUUUCGUGAUGCUUGGGCCCCGCCACACCAGCACUGACUAUCACGAGCUGGGGCGCUCCAUCGCUACCCUCAUGUCUGACAAGCUGUUUCACGAGGCUGCCUACCAGGCCGACGACCGGCAGGACCUCCUGAGCGCCAUCAGCGAGUUCCUGGACGGCAGCAUCGUGAUCCCCCCGUCGGAGGUGGAGGGCCGCGACCUGCUGCGCUCCGUGGCCGCCUUCCAGCGGGAGCUGCUGCGGAAGCGGCGGGAGCGGGAGCAGAACAAAGUGGAGAUGGCCGCCCGGGGAGGCUACGUGGCCCCUGGGAAAGGACUGUCGCUGGAAUUGGGGAGCUCUGAGGUGACCCCCGAAGAUGACCCCCUGCGGCGGACCGGCUCCGUGUUUGGGGGCCUGGUCCGGGACGUGAAGCGCCGCUACCCGCACUACCCCAGCGACCUGCGGGACGCUCUGCACUACCAGUGUGUGGCCGCCGUGCUCUUCAUCUACUUCGCUGCCCUCAGCCCUGCCAUCACCUUCGGGGGGCUGCUCGGGGAGAAGACCGAAGGGCUGAUGGGAGUGUCUGAGCUGAUCGUGUCCACGGCCGUGCUUGGAAUCCUCUUUUCUCUGCUGGGGGCCCAGCCGCUGCUUGUGGUUGGCUUCUCGGGGCCACUGCUGGUCUUCGAAGAAGCCUUCUUCAAGUUCUGCCAGUCCCAUGACCUGGAGUACCUCACCGGCCGGGUGUGGGUUGGCCUCUGGCUGGUGGUCUUUGUUCUUGCUCUGGUGGCCGCUGAGGGCAGCUUCCUGGUCCGCUACAUCUCGCCUUUCACCCAGGAGAUCUUCGCUUUCCUCAUUUCCUUCAUUUUCAUCUAUGAGACCUUCUACAAGCUCUACAAGGUGUUCACGGAGCACCCACUGCUGCCAUUCUACCCCCCUGAGGGGGCCCUGGAGCCGAGGCUGGACCUGAACGGGAGUGCUCUGCCCACCACCGAGGGGCCACCAGGCCCGAGGAACCAGCCCAACACGGCCCUCCUGUCCCUCAUCCUCAUGCUUGGGACCUUCCUCAUUGCCUUCUUCCUGCGCAAGUUCAGGAACAGCCGCUUCCUGGGGGGCAAGGCUCGCCGCAUCAUCGGGGAUUUCGGCAUCCCCAUCUCCAUCCUGGUGAUGGUCCUGGUGGAUUACUCCAUUACAGACACCUACACACAGAAGCUGACAGUGCCCACGGGGCUCUCAGUGACCUCCCCCCAUAAGCGCACGUGGUUCAUCCCGCCUAUGGGCAGUGCCCGUCCUUUCCCGCCUUGGAUGAUGGUGGCAGCUGCCGUCCCCGCCUUGCUGGUCCUCAUCCUGAUCUUCAUGGAGACACAGAUCACUGCGCUCAUUGUCAGCCAGAAGGCACGGAGGCUGCUCAAAGGCUCCGGCUUCCACCUGGACCUGCUUCUGAUCGGCUCCCUUGGGGGCCUCUGUGGGCUGUUUGGGUUGCCCUGGCUCACAGCUGCCACCGUCCGCUCGGUCACCCACGUUAACGCGCUGACUGUCAUGCGCACCGCCAUCGCGCCUGGAGACAAGCCCCAGAUCCAGGAGGUGCGGGAGCAGCGGGUCACUGGCGUGCUCAUCUCCAGCCUUGUGGGCCUGUCCAUCGUCAUGGGGGCUGUGCUGCGCCAGAUCCCGCUAGCUGUGCUCUUUGGGAUUUUCCUGUACAUGGGGGUCACGUCACUGUCUGGCAUCCAGCUGUCCCAGCGCCUGUUGCUCAUCUUCAUGCCAGCAAAACACCAUCCCGAGCAGCCCUAUGUGACCAAGGUGAAGACUUGGCGGAUGCACCUGUUCACCUGCAUCCAGCUGGGCUGCAUCGCACUGCUCUGGGUGGUCAAGUCCACAGCAGCCUCGCUCGCCUUUCCCUUCCUGCUGCUGCUCACGGUGCCUCUGAGGCGUUGCCUUCUGCCCCGGAUUUUCCAGGAGAGGGAGCUGCAGGCGGGUUAAUAGAAGAUCCUACCUUAUACGAUUGCUGUGAGGCUUAAACACCAAUCCAGCUGGACUCAGAAGAUGCUGAGCCAAACUUCGACGAGGAUGGCCAGGAUGAGUACAACGAGCUGCAUAUGCCUGUGUGAUCCUCUGACACGGUGCCCAUGAGAGACCCCGACGUCUUAGAGACUACUCCCUGGGCCCCUGCCAGAGCCCAGCCCCACGGCAGGCGGGCUCCUCCUGACCCAGAGACGUUCCGGAACCGCUACUGACGCCAUGGCCAGAGGGGCCCGGACUGUGCCCGAGGCUCUGACCUUAUCUCACCAGGCCCUUUCACAGACCAGCACAGGCUUUACCGGCACAGGCUUUGAGCUCAUUAUAACCACACCCCUUGUCUUGUGUCUGCUUCA